rnacentral:rRNA from 1 species
UACAGAGGGGGCAAGCGUUGUUCGGAAUUACUGGGCGUAAAGGGCGCGUAGGCGGCGCGACAAGUCACUUGUGAAAUCUCCGGGCUUAACCCGGAGCGGCCAAGUGAUACUGUAGUGCUAGAGUGCGGAAGGGGCUACUGGAAUUCUCGGUGUAGCGGUGAAAUGCGUAGAUAUCGAGAGGAACACCUGCGGCGAAGGCGGGUAGCUGGGCCGACACUGACGCUGAGGCGCGAAAGCCAGGGGAGCGAACGGG